GAUGAACGCUGGCGGCGUGCCUAAUACAUGCCAGUCGAACGAUCAUUCCAUCCGCUUGCUUUGCUGUCAUUUGGAAGGGGGGGUGGAGGAAGGGGGGGAAAACCUUGGUAAACUACCCGGUUAACGGGGGAAAACCCUGGCAAACAGCGGAUAAUACAGCAAACCAGUUUAUGCCAUAGGGAAAAAGGGUGAAGGCGGCUUUGGGGUGUGGCUGAGGGUGGGACCCGCGGUGCAUUAGCUAGUUGGUGAGGUAACGGCUCACCAAGGCCACGAUGCAUAGCCGACCUGAGAGGGUGAUCGGCCACACUGGGACUGAGACACGGCCCAGACUCCUACGGGAGGCAGCAGUAGGGAAUCUUCGGCAAUGGACGAAAGCCUGACCGAGCAACGCCGCGUGAGUGAAGAAGGCUUUCGGAUCGUAAAACUCUGUUGUUAGAGAAGAACAAGGACGUUAGUAACUGAACGUCCCCUGACGGUAUCUAACCAGAAAGACACGGCUAACUACGUG
rnacentral:rRNA from 1 species